UACCAGCACCCCGAGUGGUCGGGACGAUUAUUGGGCCUAAAGCAUCCGUAGCCGGUUCUACAAGUCUUCCGUUAAAUCCACCUGCUUAACAGAUGGGCUGCGGAGGAUACUAUAGAGCUAGGAGGCGGGAGAGGCAAGCGGUACUUAGUGGGUAGGGGUAAAAUCCGUUGAUCCAUUGAAGACCACCAGUGGCGAAGGCGGCUUGCCAGAACGCACUCGACGGUGAGGGAUGAAAGCUGGGGGAGCAAACCGGAUUAGAUACCCUAGUAGUCC
rnacentral:rRNA from 1 species